CCUACGGGAGGCAGCAGUGAGGAAUAUUGGUCAAUGGGCGCGAGCCUGAACCAGCCAAGUAGCGUGAAGGAUGACUGCCCUACGGGUUGUAAACUUCUUUUAUAAAGGAAUAAAGUGAGGCACGUGUGCCUUUUUGUAUGUACUUUAUGAAUAAGGAUCGGCUAACUCCGUGCCAGCAGCCGCGGUAAUACGGAGGAUCCGAGCGUUAUCCGGAUUUAUUGGGGUUAAAGGGAGCGUAGAUGGGUUGUUAAGUCAGUUGUGAAAGUUUGCGGCUAAACCGUAAAAUUGCAAUUGAUACUGGCAGUCUUGAGUACAGGUGAGGUAGGCGGAAUUCGUGGUGUAGCGGUGAAAUGCGUAGAUAUCACGAGGAACACCGAUGGCGAAGGCAGCUUACUAAACUGCCACUGACAUUGAGGCUCGAAAGUGUGGGGAUCAAACAGGAUUAGAUACCCCAGUAGUC
rnacentral:rRNA from 1 species